rnacentral:lncRNA from 1 species
AGUGUGUUAGUAGUCUGGCCGUGUGCCCAAACUUAUGUUUCGCAGCAAAAGUGGAAACCUGUCUGUAAAGCAAGUGUAACGAUGAUUUCCUGUAUCAUGGGGGCUCAAACCAGGACCUCUCUAGUUGCUGUUAGGAAUGUCUGCUUCAUUUCCAAGCUUUUUUUUUUUUUUUUUUUUUUUUUUAAAUACGUCAUGGGUUUCUGAGGCUCCAGCCUGUUUAGUGCAUGGGCAGCCAUCCUGGCAGCCAAGACAUCUCUGACAGAAGUGUUUUUGUUUGGUUUUGUUUUUUAAGAUUAUGUAUUUGCUACAAAGUAUUGUACUUGUCUCAAUGGGAAUGGUGUUAAAAAAGAAAAAAAGACAGAAAAGGCCUUAUGUGAUAUGUAUCAUAGUUAAUAAAUCAAUCUUGUAAAAAAAAAAACCAUAAAUAAAAACAGGCCUGAGAGAAAUGAAGGGCCGCAGUCUCCACAGCAGCCUGGGGCCAAGUGGGGACAGUCCUACCCCUCAUCCUCUGCAGCCGUGUUGAGAGGACAGAAGUCGGAGAACUGCAGAUGGCCAGAAGCUUUGGAAAGUUGUAAGAAGUGAGAAGGCUAGCCACCUAAAGAAGCCACAGCAAAAACAUUUCCACCACCCCUGAAAAUACUGAAAGAGUAACUGUGGUGCACACAUGUAGUCCUAGGACCAGGUGUGCUGAGACAGCUGGUUUUAAACAUCUGUGUAAGGAAGUUUGAGUGGUUGUGAGUGUGGGCACAUGGCUAUCACGAAGGCCCAUCAAAGAACACCUUGGUGAAGUAGGAUCAUCCCAUCAUCUGGAUCCCAGAUGGUGGCAAGUGCUCUUUCCUCUGCCUCCAUUCCAGUGCUCUAGAAUACUGUAACUCAGGCCUGCUGAGAUUCUGAUGGAUCCCCACAUGCACGCUUAACCUGACCUCCCUUGACCCUUCCUUCCCUAUGGCAGGGGCCUAGAAGUUCCUCAUACAGGAUGUCUAUCACAGCACCACCAUGGAUGGGGAAAAAACUCCAGGCAGCCUCAAACUUCAAGCCUACCUACCUACCUCCUCCUCCUCCACCUCCUCCUGAGUUUUGUUUUGUUUUGUUUUGCUUCAGGUUUCUCCAUGUAACCCUGGCUGGCCUCCUAUGUGUGAGUUAGAGGCAGUUGUGAGCCGCCCAAUAAACCGAACUUGGGUCCUCUGCAAAAGC